rnacentral:rRNA from 1 species
UGAACGCUGGCGGCGUGCCUAAUACAUGCAAGUCGAGCGAACGGACGAGAAGCUUGCUUCUCUGAUGUUAGCGGCGGACGGGUGAGUAACACGUGGAUAACCUACCUAUAAGACUGGGAUAACUUCGGGAAACCGGAGCUAAUACCGGACAAUAUUUUGAACCGCAUGGUUCAAAAGUGAAAGACGGUCUUGCUGUCACUUAUAGAUGGAUCCGCGCUGCAUUAGCUAGUUGGUAAGGUAACGGCUUACCAAGGCAACGAUGCAUAGCCGACCUGAGAGGGUGAUCGGCCACACUGGAACUGAGACACGGUCCAGACUCCUACGGGAGGCAGCAGUAGGGAAUCUUCCGCAAUGGGCGAAAGCCUGACGGAGCAACGCCGCGUGAGUGAUGAAGGUCUUCGGAUCGUAAAACUCUGUUAUUAGGGAAGAACAUAUGUGUAAGUAACUGUGCACAUCUUGACGGUACCUAAUCAGAAAGCCACGGCUAACUACGUG